ACCGAAUUCAGUCAAACUCCGAAUGCCAAUGACUUAUCCUUAGGAGUCAGACUGCGAGUGAUAAGAUCCGUAGUCAAGAGGGAAACAGCCCAGAUCGCCAGCUAAGGUCCCAAAGUGUGUAUUAAGUGGAAAAGGAUGUGGAGUUGCUUAGACAACUAGGAUGUUGGCUCAGAAGCAGCCACCAUUUAAAGAGUGCGUAAUAGCUCACUAGUCGAGUGACUCUGCGCCGAAAAUGUACCGGGGCUAAAUACACCACCGAAGCUG
rnacentral:rRNA from 1 species